ACUCGCAGAAUAAGCACCGGCUAACUACGUGCCAGCAGCCGCGGUAAUACGUAGGGUGCGAGCGUUAAUCGGAAUUACUGGGCGUAAAGCGUGCGCAGGCGGUUUUUUAAGUCAGAUGUGAAAUCCCCGGGCUUAACCUGGGAAUUGCAUUCGAUACUGGGAAGCUAGAGUAUGGGAGAGGAGGGUAGAAUUCCAGGUGUAGCGGUGAAAUGCGUAGAGAUCUGGAGGAAUACCGAUGGCGAAGGCAGCCAUCUGGCCUAAUACUGA
rnacentral:rRNA from 1 species